GGCGUAGCGCAGUUUGGUAGCGCGCUUGGUUCGGGACCAAGAGGCCGUGGGUUCAAAUCCCGUCGCCU
rnacentral:tRNA from 1 species